UACAGAGGGUGCAAGCGUUAAUCGGAAUUACUGGGCGUAAAGCGCGCGUAGGCGGCUUUGCAAGUCGAGUGUGAAAUCCCCAGGCUCAACCUGGGAACUGCAUUCGAGACUGCAUAGCUAGAGUAUGGGAGAGGUAAGCGGAAUUCCUGGUGUAGCGGUGAAAUGCGUAGAUAUCAGGAGGAACACCUGUGGUGUAGACAGCUUACUGGACCAUAAACUGACGCUGAGGCACGAAAGCGUGGGUAGCAAACAGG
rnacentral:rRNA from 1 species